rnacentral:rRNA from 1 species
CUUACACAUGCAAGUCGAGGGGUAACAGGGAGCUUGCUCCGCUGACGACCGGCGCACGGGUGCGUAACGCGUAUAGAAUCUACCUUACACUGAGGGAUAGCCUUUGGAAACGAAGAUUAAUACCUCAUAGUAUCAUUUUUUGGCAUCAUUAAAUGAUUAAAGGUUACGGUGUAAGAUGACUAUGCGUCCUAUUAGCUUGAUGGUAAGGUAACGGCUUACCAUGGCUACGAUAGGUAGGGGCCCUGAGAGGGGGAUCCCCCACACUGGUACUGAGACACGGACCAGACUCCUACGGGAGGCAGCAGUGAGGAAUAUUGGACAAUGGAGGCAACUCUGAUCCAGCCAUGCCGCGUGAAGGAUGACUGCCCUAUGGGUUGUAAACUUCUUUUAUACAGGAAGAAACGGUUCCACGUGUGGGACUUUGACGGUACUGUAUGAAUAAGCACCGGCUAACUCCGUGCCAGCAGCCGCGGUAAUACGGAGGGGUGCAAGCGUUAUCCGGAAUCAUUGGGUUUAAAGGGUCCGUAGGCGGACUAAUAAGUCAGA